rnacentral:lncRNA from 1 species
AGGAGACACAGAAGAUGGAGGGAGGGAUGGCAGCCUACCCUGUGGCAACGCGGGAGUCGCGUUGCCGCAGGGGGCGCAUUGGGGUCCAGCCGUCCCCAGAACGCAGAUCAGAGGUAGUCGGACCUUUCCCGCUGGCGCGCAGCCUCAGCUAGGUAGGUCUCCUUCCUUCGUCUUUCCUUUCUUUGCCUUUCCUUUCCCUGACGCUGGGGGAAGUAGGGCAGGGGUUCUGUGCCAUAGGCGGCCUUUCUGGUGCAGAGGACCUUCCCCAUCCUCCAUCAUGUGAGCAGCCAGAGCCGGGCGCUCGAACUUGCGCAAUGGUGGCUGCCGCACCACCGGCUCGGGCGUCAGGCAGUUAUCUGGGAGUCCCCGAGGGCCGAGUCGGGGCCAUGUGGGCGGGUCGGGGUCUUGCGUUUUUGGAGCACUGAGUUUUUAACCCCUGCCUACGUUUUCAGUUCUGGCAAGUGUAGGGAGAGCCUCCUAGCAGAGUCCCUCUAGCCUUCCUCGUCGGUUGGCCUGGAAGCGUUUCUGUGUGGCCAAAGGGCGGGGCGAACAGGAGGAGAAGGGUGCGCACACGGAUUCCUUCACCCACUCGAGUUCUCCCCACCUACGUGGCUGGAGGAGGGUGCGCGUGCUCUGUGGGUUUGGACUGAGUGGUGGUUAAACCUCAUGGCCGCCGUGCGUGCUCACAAGUGCUGGGCUCCCUUGAAUGUACCCCUAAAGAGGGUACAUUUCCUCGGAUGAAAUUUUGGCCUAAAAGCAAUACAGCUCCCUUUCUACGUACGCAUUUAAAGACAUGGAAAGAGACCCCCCCCCCCAGAUUUUCAGGGGCUCGCUCACAUUUUCAUCUUUUUUCAGUUCUGUGAAAUGGGAGGAUCUGAAACGGCCAUGAUUAUUCAGGAUUGAGCCACCACACCAAACUUGGGUAAAAUUCUUUCAUGGGGGUACUGACUCAUAGCUUGAGGUGGAAUUAGUACCUAGAUUUUCCCUCUUAUUAUGGAGUCACUGGCUGUCUUCUGUACUGAUGGAGCCAGGCCAAGCCCAAGGGAGCCCAGCAAAACAACCUCAUCCAGUAUACUGGCUCAGGAGGCCCAAGAGGGAGUAGUAAGCCAUUGUGGGAGCAGCAGAAAUUGGCAGGGGCCAUGUAAAUUGUGAAGACUGGGGAAAUGAUGCCUUGGCUUACCUCCAGGGGUCUCAGGUAGGCAGUCCCCCAUUGGGUGCUCCAGAUUGGGGUUCCGUGGGUCAGAAGGAAGGCCCAGUGGUUCCACACAGGCAGGUGACCAUGGUGGGGGCCUUUGGUUCUGCAGCCCCUUCAAGGAAGCUCUACAUGAAAGUGUGGGUCUUCUCUCCCUGCAGCACCCCCACAUUCACUCAUUUGUGCAUUCAUACAUGCAUGUAUACAUGCAAACACACAUGCCUCUACUUUCUUCCUUAAUUGUGUAUCUAUGUGUGUUUUCUUCUUUUUCUCUUCCUUUCUCCCAUAACCACCUUGGAGAUGCCACUGUGGAUAGAGAUUCCUCCCAAUUAAGUGGUAGCCCUUAACACUGCAUGAUGGACACUCCCAAGUUUCCCCUCUGCCUUCUAUUCAUCCUCCUGACUCUGCCUACAGUGAGAAUUGUGUCAUUUUUCCUUGUGUGUAUGUUUUUAGUGUCCAGUGUGAAUAAAGGCAAAUGCAGAGGUAUGUCUGCCUUUGACUUUCUCUUUGACACCAAGAUGCUUACAUGUGAUAGACUCUCUUAUAAUUUGUGGCUUUCACAAAACACCUCCACUGGACUUUGCAUCUCUGUGCAGAGUCAACAUACUCCCAGAUUCUUUUCAUUUCCCCUCUGUUAUUUUAUUUAUGCAUGAUGGAGAAAACACACUUGUGAAGAAAUUUAUUUCUCCAUACCCACACAAGUACACAGACCAAGAAGGAAGCUCUGUGAGGAUAGAUGCCAAGACAUGAUGGUUGUGAUUCCCCCACAGGAAUGAGAGAAGUCAGAGGUAUCCUCUGGUUUCAUAUGGGACUGUUCAUGGAAAGCUGCCUCUUUAUGACAGCCUCAAAUUACAUUUGUGGGAUUUUUCAAUAAAUAAUUAGGGUUGAUUUUAAUGUUAUACUUUCUUCAGAAAUCACGGUUGAUCCAAGAGCUGAUAUCCUAGCCUGAAAGCACUCUCUCAGUUGGCUGGGUGGGUUGAAUAUAUACACUGCCACCUUUUGGCUAUCACUUUGACAAUCAGCCCAAAAUCCAGUGAAGGAUAGUUGGCUAUCUUGUUGCAGGGCACACAGAGUGAACAGAAAAAGAGGAUACCUCUGCGAUCCCGGGUCAUCUCCAGAUGCUAGGGUUAUGGGUGAGUGCUCUUUAUCCUUCUGAAUCCUCUUCCUUAUCCUUUUCAAAAAGUCUGUUUUGGCCAGGCGCGGUGGCUCACGCCUGUGGUCCUGGCACUUUGGGAGGCCGAGGCGGGCUGAUCCCAUGAGGUCAGGAGUUCCGGACCAGCCUGGUCAGCACGGCGAGACCCCAUCUCUGCUGGAAAUGCAAAAAUUGGCUGGGUGUGGUGCCAAGUGCCUGUGGUCCCAGCUGCUUGAGGGGCUGAGGCAGGAGAAUCGCUUGAACCCGGGAGGCGGAGGUUGCAGUGAGCUGAGAUCGUGCCACUGCGCCCCAGCCUGGGCGACAGAGCAAGACUCUGUCAUAAAUAAAUAAAUAAACAAAACAAAACAUCAUAACAUAUAGAAAAAAUUUUCAAACAAUACAAAUUGACACUUGACUGAUUCCCAGAGAGUGAAGGCAGUGUGGCAUAGCAGAAAGAGCGAGGUCUGAAGUCAAAUCGUAUGGGUUUAAAACUUGGCUUUGCCUGAUAUGAUCUGUAAAGUGUAGGCAAAUCUGUUGACUUCUUUGGGUCUCAGUUUAUCAUCUACAAAAUAGGCUUAACAAUUAUUUUCAUGAUUGCUGGGAGGACUAGAUAGGAUGAUAUAUGUGAAAGUUCUUAGUAGGUACAGAAAUUAUACUAAAAAAGACAAACAAAUCCACAUGCUAUAAUGCAGUGUGGACUAUCUUUGGUAACCCACAUGUCAAAGGUAGUCUUAAACUGCUCUGGUUUGGUAAAUGUUGGCGUAAACUAGAAGUCAGAGACUAUGGGAUCCACCCUUAUCUGCUCUCGAGCUUUGGUUUACAAUGAGCUCAAGUGUGGGGAUUGUGUCAAAUGAUUCCUGGAAUCCCAUACAUUUGUAAAAUUCUAUGAAUUUGUGAAGUCUGCAAAAUGUGAAUCUGAGGUGUAUGUACUGUAGAGCAACUAUUAGACCAUUUAUCACAUUAUAUAUAGAUAGACAGAUAUAUCUAUAUAUAAUUUUUUUUUUAGGCAGAGUCUUGCUCUGUCACCCAGGCUGGAGUGCGGUCUCGGCUCACUGCAACCUCCGCCUCCUGGCUUCUGGCCGUUCUCCUGCCUUAGCCUCCCAAGUGGCUGGGAUUGCAGGCACCUGCCACCAUGCCCGGCUCAUUUUUGCAUUUUUAGUGAAGAUGGGGUUUCGCCGUGUUGGUCAUUCUGGUCUUGAGCUCCUGACCGCAGGCGGUCCACCCACCUUAGCCUCCCAAGGUGCUGGGAUUGCAGGCGUGAGCCACCGCGCCUGGCUAUCACAUUAUAUUUUACAGAAGCCAUCAUCCCAUACCUUUGAGUCCAGCCCCAGAAAGAGCGGUCCCUUGCAUACCAUUCAAUAUGACCUUGGGCAUCCUUUCCCCACUCCCCAGCCAUAGCUGUUUGGGCUAGGGUUGGAAACCUGUCCAUGGUAGGCCCUUUGGAGUCUCUUGCUGGCCACUUGGGAUUACAAUGGAGACAGUCAAGUUAACAGACAGUAAUGCUGGACCUGGACAGUUGCCAGCACGUGUUGGAGGCUGAGAGCACCAUCCAGUGUAAGCCAUGGUGGAUGGUGUAGUAGGAGAGCAAAGGAAGGCAAUCUGCAAAUGGGUUGGAUGGGGAGGGGGAGAAAAGGUGGGAGAAAGAGAGAAAUAUAAAAUGAGGGAAGCAGAGGAAGAGAUAACAUGGCAAUGAAGAAAGUAACAUCUUUGGUCAUUUUCUGUUCCAAUCACCCACAGCAGGCCUGUCGGUUCUCUUUUACCUAAGUAGAUUUUAGUGGCUUUUCUAUUCUUGAUCUCCAACCAUGCCCUAAGACAUACGGCAAUGGUAACACAGACUGAGGAUUCUCUGAUGGCAGGGCUUUGUCUCAUUCCUUUUUGCAACAAGCACAAAGUAGAUGCUCAAUGAAUUUAUACUGAAAUGACAUGAAAAUCAUGUUUGUGUAUGAAGUGUCACUGAUGGCAUUUAUAUGAAAAAGGUUAAUUAAAAUAAUUAUGUUUUUAAAAAAGUCUGUUUUAUCCUAUGAAAUGGGCAGUGGUUCUGGGAUUUCAGCCCAUCUACAGAAGACACUGCUGAGGCAUGUAGAUAACUGGCAUGGGGCAAUGGUGCCCUAUUCUGUAGCUUUCCACCAUGCUUAGUAGGAAAGACUUUUUGAAUGAGGUCCUGAUAGUGAGGCCCAAAGUAGGAAGUGCAUGGAUGAGCACCUAGGCAAGAUGUGUUUCCUUCAGGGGAUUGGGAUCAUUUCUUGGAACUUGAGGUCAGUGUCCUGUAGUGUAGGGGAGAGGGGAAAUGGGUUGGGACUGGGACUCUGGGAGGCUGGCCAUCUGCCAGUUAUGGGAUCUUUGGGCUCCCAGAGUUACUUUUAAGAAGUGGUCCUGGCCUCACUUAAGAAGAGAAAGUCUGUUGGAGACCCAGGGAAGACAGACAGGUCUUUUGGGCCUUCACCUUAUUGGUGUUGAGUACAGCUCUGCCUUCUUGUCCUGCCCAUUAUCUCCCAAUCCCUCUUGGGCCCAACUCACUGCACAAUGGCCCUCCUGACUGGUGAGGACAUGGAGUGCACUCUGCCUUAACUGUUAGAGGGUGAUUGGGCUAAAAGGGGUGGGAGGCCACACUCACGCAGCCUGGUGCCAAUCGCUCAAUGUCCCUUAUGUCUGUCUCUUGACAUACUGAGGAGAAAUGUGGGGGAAUGUGUCUUGAAGAGGUGUUAUUCCACACAAGCCAUCAGAAGUACACCUACCACAAGCCUGCUUGUAAGAAUUGUCCUGCCAUUGAUCCUGGCAUGGACAUCACAUAUGAGGAGGAUGGGUAUCUCUAGUUUGGCUCCUGUCUCCCCUCCUCACUGACCCAAGCGUGCAACCUUCCUUGUCUGGAGACCAUUCCUCAUCUGGAGGGUACGGCCAUGUGAAAGGAGCGGGGUCCUCAGGCCACAUUGUCUUGUGAUGGCAGUUUUUCCUCACUGUUCACCCCAGUUCUGGUGCCGCUGCGCCACCAUUUUGUGGGUAUUGCAUCCUGAGACCUCUGGGUCAAGCUGACCUUUUAGUGGCUUAUGUCAAUGUCCAAGUCAAAAUGUUACUUGGUAAGCAGAGUUUAAGUCUGGCUCCAACUCUCUGCCCAGACUCAAGAUAUUUUCCUGUGGUCUCAGCCAGCUCCAGUGCUAAAGAUUCAGCCAUGGCUUUUAGGUAUGAUCAUAAGGUAAUGAUUAGAGCCAUUUCUCCUUGUCAAGAGGAAAGUUUGAGACCACCCUACUGGGAUGAAGCCCUGCAAGAUGGAGGACCAGCAAUGAGAACUGGGAGCCCCAAGGAUUCAGCCAGGAUAAACACUGGCUGGCUUUUUCUUCAGUAGCAAAUGGCAGAGGGAUGGAAUAUUGGGGAGGAAAGAGGGGAAGGAAUGCUGGCAUUUCUGGCAUAAUAGUGCCAUCUAGAAGAACUUGUUUGACAAUCCCAUGAACCCUUGCUCAUGAUUGUCUGAGGAGUGGCUUGGGAGUGAAGUGGGGUUUCAGGAGGGAACAGAGCUAUCUGGAUGCAUGGGAGAAGUGUGGCCAAUGGCCAUUUGGGGCUGUCAAGCUUCAGAGACAAGCACCAGGUCAAGACCCCCAGAGCACCUGGUGGGACCUGUACUGGAAGCCCUGGCUCAUGAUUCUGUUGGUAGCCAUGUCUGGAUAGGGCUAGCAUAAAUCUCUGCAAAGGAUCCCCACCCUGAGGUUACAGCCAUUUUACCACCUGCCCCUUUACUGGCUGCAGUGCCUGCUCCUGAGAGUGCCAUACUUCUGGCAGAAGCCUGUUUUUAGUGCUGUGUGUCCCACACCAAAGAGAGCUAGUGCCUAGAUCCCUGCCUUUGCAGAGUUCUUCUUGGCCACCUUCCUUCAAAGUCCCAGGAGCCUCAGGGCAAUGAGCAGGAAUUGGCCUUGCUUCCCAUUCACCCCUGGCUCUCCCAAGUCUGAACCUGUGUUUAUCCAGGUAGCUGGGAAUCAAGAAGGGCCAGGAGUCCAUGCCAGAAUCUAACCACUGUAGGGUUCUGUCAUCAUCCUUCCUUUCUCCAUGCCCAUUUCUCUCUGUGCAUCCAGCCCUAGCCUCCUCCCCAUUUCCCUCAGAUCUACUUCUCAUCAAGCAGUCCUGCCGAGCCAAGAACGAGGUACAUACUCCUGGGUACAUGGCCUAUUUUAUACACUCCAUCUUCCUAAUGGCCUACUCCUGGAAAACAUCGUGGUUAAGUUGUGCUUUUGCCAGCUCUUAACUGACUGAGGCUAUGCUCCCUGGUCAGUGCUUGCCCACAGGCCUGGUAGGAAGACUCAAGGCCCAGAUCUCCACCUUUUUUUUUUCUUUCACCUCCCAAAUGGGUGCCAAAAACUGCUCUAGUCCUUUCUCAGUUUCAUACUUGUGAGUUUCCUAAAGUGUUGCCCAGUGGUCUUAUGUGGGCAGAGCCUUUUAGGGUCAAUCAACCUUCUUUUUUCCAAGCCUCAGGGCAAGACCUGGACCUACAGGAUCUGAUUGAUCCUAAGCUCAAGGCUGUGAGUGUGAUGCUCUGAGAGUGUUCCUUAGGUUUGAGCCAAUGCUGUAAGACAAGCAGAUACACAGAACAUAGAUCUUCAUGUUUGAACCCAGGUUUCUUCCACGAGGAGAGGAACCAGAUCAUACUAAGGAACUAGAGCCUAACAAACAGUGCACUUCCGGAUUGUUCUUGAGCUGAAGUACAGCACAAUACAGACCUAGGUCCUCUGACACCAGAGCUCAAUGUUGGUAUCAACUUGAUCCCCAAUGAGUGUCAGCACUCUCUGCCCCAUGGGACAAAAUGUGUGCAAUGGCACGCUGUGAGACCUUUGACCCAGACUUUCUUUGACAGGAGCAAAAAUUAACCAGACAAAGUUUGAAGUGCAAUGUACUUCAACUACUCUUUCUUGUAUCAUUGUAGUACCCCCCAAAUCAGGAAAUUUUCUAUCCUUUUUAUGAGCUACACCUAGCAAUGUGGCUACUGCCACCUCCCCUUUAUUUGGCUGGCCCUGGGACCUCCAGGGCAGUGCCUCCUUUCUUCGCUUGAAGUUACAUCUUCACCAAGAGCAAAGAUCCACAGUCAAAAUGCCCUGUGGUAGCUCCAGGUUCCCAAACAUGGCUGCCACUAAGGCCUGGCCUCUGCCGCCUCCCGAGCCUGGCAGGCCUGGCAGCCCAGGGUUUCUUGGUGGGCAAGCUCGGCUCCCUCGCUUUUGCACUGAAUCUGGAGGCACCCAGUCAGGUGCCCACAUCCAGUCCCAGAAUUCCCUGAGUGCCCCAAACCUACCCUUUGUUCUAUUAGAAACCUUCCCCUCUGGAUACACUGCGAAGGGCUGGAAGCCAUGCUCAAAAAGCUUCCUCUUGAUGGCACUGUUGUUCCAGAAAUGCCAACCGCCCCGUCCUACCAGGCCUCUCCCUCCACCCUUUGUGGAUGAAAAAACACCAGGGAAGGCCCACAACCAGUAUAAGCCUUAGAAGCAGAGUUUAUUCUGCUAUAGUGCUACAAGGCAGGGCUGAGUGUACCUUUCUCUGGGGCUCUUGGUUUUAAUAUAAAUGUCUGUGUGUAAGUGUUCAUCAAAAAGAACAGAUGUAUCCAUGUAUCUGUUGCUGUUAAUACAUCAUCCCUUUAUGAGCGUUAAGUCUAAAUAUCAUGUAAAUGUGUCAGUGGCUUCUGGGCACACUUGUGGGUUUAUAUAGGAUAUCUUAGGUAGAAUUCUUGCUCUUAUGGGGACAUUGACUCAUAGCUUGAGGUGGGCUGAGUACCUGGAUUUCCCUUCUUAUCUUGGAGUUGUUGCUUCUCUUCUGUCCUCAUGGAGCCAGGGCAAUCUUACCCAAGGCAGUCCAGCAGCCUCUUGUAGCUUAAGAUGUCAGCAGCAGGCCCUAGAGGGAAUGGCAGGCUAUUGCGGGGCCUGCAGGAAUUGACAGGUGCUAUAUCAGGUGAGAAGACUUUUUCAAAGUGAAAAUAAAAAUCUAGAGAUGAAUAUCUAAAUUUAACAUUUUAUUACAGGAGGAAAAAUUGCAGUUUGGUGCAUACAUACAGAUUCGGUGGCCUUUAGUAUUUCUGAAGAAGAAAGAGGAGGUUGCAGGUUUUAUAAAAGGAGAAAUGUCACAUACAGUUUUUCUAGAAAGUUCAUUGGUACUAGUAACGUAUUGUGGAGCUAGCAGUCUCUGAUGGGUGAGUGAUAGUCUUGGGUAAAAGUGGUCUUAGAGUUUUGAGCAGGUUGUUUCAGUAGCUGUUAGAUAAAAGUGUUUUCAGGAUAUAACAGGCAGUUUUAUCAUCCAGGCUGGUAGAGAAUUACAUUCUUAGAGCAAUGUAAUAAUGCCCUGAGUGCUUCUUCCCCCUGAACUCUUGACUGUUUUAGUUUUAUAUUGUAAGAAUGACCCAAUGUGUGUGAUCAACUUUCACACGCCCCUCUUUGAUCAAGAUCCUUCUAUGAAUGCAUGACUGAUCAACCAUUGUGAAGUUAGGCUUAAUUGUCUCUCGGUGCUGGGAUGGAGCUGUCCUGUUGUCUUCCUCAUUGAGGGUAAGUCAUAGGGGUGUAUAUCAGUGACCUGGGUCAUAUUGGAGUAACAAGGAGGCCAGAAGGAAAAAUUUUCUCAUGGUAGGUUCAUCUGGAGUCCAGCAUCAAGUUUCAUCUUACAGUUCCAUAGUCAUCAGCAGUCACCUUGAAACAAUGGGCUAAUUUUAUCCCCUUCAGAGAGCUGGCUUUACAAAGAUUAGACAGGUAAUAAGAGCAACACUUAAAAAUCAUAAUACAAAAAUAAAAAACAAUAUAAUAAAAUUAGUUUGCACAAUGGUUUUGCUCUAAGAGCACAAACUUAAGGGCAACAACUAAACAAAUCAAAAGACCAUAGAGGAAACUAGGUGAGACCUGUUAUAGCCACUGAGUAGCAUUUUCUGACUUGGUAAAAUUAAAACAGAGAAUGCCAAUUUUACAAAAGGAACCACCAUUAUAAUUUGAACAAAAUUUUUAAAGUUGCCCACUAGGUGAACUAAAAGGAUUUCUUUGGUCAGGUUUUGUCAAGUUAUCUAUAGCAGUUACUGGUUGCUAAAAAAAAGUAAUUAUGUCAACUUCCUGCCAAGUGAAAAAAAAAUAUCAUUAAGGGAAGUAAGACUUUCAUUAUGAUAUGUCAUUCUGAUGUCUUAGGAAAGGUCGUUUAUGGCAUGAAAAAUGUCAACUUCUUGUCCUGGUUUACAGUUUGAAUGUCUCUGGCUUUGGUGUCAGGGAGUUUGGUGACCUUUCUGUGUGGUUCAUAUAUCAGGCACAAGAUUUGUUCCUUAAAAUUUAUCUAGUUUUAGCUUACAGGCCUUAGAAACGAAGUAGUUCCUGCCUUAGGAGUUUUAUGGAAAAAAGUUGGAUUGGAGGAACCUAGAAUAAUUUAGGACCACGUGUAGUGUAUAAGUAGAUAAUAAGAGCUUGAAAACAAUGUGCAGAGUUAAAAUCUAAUAACAGGUGUAGUAUAGCUCUUUUUUAGAAACAACCUUUUCUUUCUACAUUGAUCAUAUAGGAAAUCUCAGAUUUUAAAACCUCAUGAGGCUAGAAAGCAAAACCAAGACCAACUUUAGAUUUUAUUAUAAUCUUAGGAUUCCUGGACCUGCUGGGAAGUGACAGUUUUUAUUUACUCACUAUAAGGCUGGGAACCCUUAAGUCAGGCAUUUUAUGCAUAUUUUCAAAUAUGUCAUUUCAGUCAAAGCCUUGGUAAUAACCAUGCUUUUAAAUUGUAUUCUGCUAUAAAGAAGACAGAUUUUUAUUGGGCUUAUGCAAAUAAUCAUAUUACCAUAAGAAUACUAACAAAUACUUUCUGAAUUCUGGAGGAAUCAAGGAGAAAAAUCCAAAUGAUUUUCCUUUUUUUCUUUUUUCUUUUACAAAAGUAUAUCUUACCAAAUUGCUAUAAAUGAUAGCUCAAGAGAGAAAAUGUUCCUAAAUCUGAAAAACAAAACAUUAAGAACCACAUGUAUCAAGUAAAAAAUCAUAAAAACAUUGUCUUCAUUAGUUAUUCAGUCUCAUAUAAUCAACAUUUGUUCUCUUUGAUCUCCACUAGUAGUUUUCUGAAUCCAUCAGUUUAUUAGAGUUCUGGAAGUUUUCAUUUAGUCCAUUGAUAUUAAAGUUAUCAGAAACCUGUAUUUAAGAGUUCUUGUGGGCCAGGCAUGGUGGUUCACACCUGUAAUCCCAGCACUUUGGGAGCCCAAGGCAGGUGGAUCACCUGAGUUCAGAAGUUCAAGACCAGCCUCAUCUUGAACUAAAAAACCCCAUCUCUACUAAACCCCGUCUCUACUAAAAAUACAAAAAAAAAAAAAAAAAUUUCCUGGGCAUUGUGGCAGACGCCUGUAAUCCCACCUACUUGGGAGGCUGAGGCAGGAGAAUCACUGGAACCCAAAAGGCGGAGGUUCCAGUGAGCCGAGAUUGCGCCAUUGCACUCCAGCCUGGGCAACAAGAGCAAAACUCCAUCUGAAAAAAAAAAAGAGUACUUGUUGGAGUUUUUUCCAUUAAUUUGAUAUUUAAUUUUAUUAAUUAGUUUAUUUCAGCUCUGUCAUCCAGGCUGGAGUGCAGUGACAGGAUCACAGCUCACUGCAGCCUCCAACUCCUGGGCUCAAGUGAUCUUCCUGCAUCACCCUCCCAAGUAAUCAGGACUAGAGGCAAGUACCACCAUAGCCAGCUAAUUAUUUUUUUGCUUUUUGUAGAGACAAGGUCUCGUGAUGGUUCCCAGGCUGGCCUUGAACCCCUGAGCUCAAGCAAUCCUCUCGUCUCAGCCUCCCAAAAUGAUAACUUUUCAAGUGUGAGCCACCAUGACCAUCCCUUGUUCAUGAAUUUGAUUGUAAAUGUUUUUACAGAAUAAUUCAAAAUGAUAACUGUGGAUUCUAAAAACUUGGAAUGGCCGUGGUUAAAAAUCUGAUGAAAGGUUGUAAUUGAUGAGAAAAUUUAGUUAGUUCUAUUACAUAUAGCAUUUUUAGGUAACAACUAGAAUUAUGAUUGAUAACAUAUUUCUAUGAAUUUAUAUAAUUUUUGAAACAUUUGCAUUAAUAGUACAUUUAUAAAUGCAACUAAGAGAAGAUCUAAUAUUGCUUAUCCUUCAACAACAUUUCUUACACAAUUUUCCAAAUAAGCUUAAUCAUUUAAUGUCUCUACAAAAUGAAAAAAAUAUCUUUUGUUGCUUUCCAGGGGUCUGAAUGGAAAAUCCUAAAGUUAAUUCUAGGUCAACAAGACUUAAUUAAGGAUUUGAUCUUGAGUAAGUUUGUCAAAGAUGUUAAAGCGCUCAAAGCAUUUGAUCAAAACAGAAUUGCAGGCCACUAUAAAAUAAUACUCAUUUAACCAAAGUGAUCAUCAAAAGACUUCAGAUGCAACACAGAGAGUUACACGGAUAUAAAAACCUUAAUCCUUUUAAAGCUCAAUUAUCCUCAGUAAUCAAAAACCUAAUAAAGUCAACACAGCAAAUUUUCUUGAUAAAACAAAAAGCCUUUGAUUCUUAGGCCAACUAACAAAAAGCCAAAGUAAAACCAUCAGCCCUGUGACUUUUUCUUCUUAAUGGAAGCUCAUUUAGAUGAACUGGAAGUUGAACCUGAUGAAUUUAAUUAGACACAAGGAUAAUGUUUCCAAGGUUAUGAGUGGAAUAAUUCAGGUAAAUCAAAAAAGCCAAGAAUACAGAGUCAAAUUUUACGGGAGGGAAAGUGCUUUUUUAGGCCUGCAAGGUAAACAUUUUAGUGUUAGGCCAUAACAGCAGGUUAGAACUAGAGAAAAAAGAGGGGCUGACAAAAAAGUUGAAGGAGAGUUUUCAUAACAGGCAUUCUCAAGGGGAUAAAAAGGUGAAUGUCAUGAUGUGUGACCUGCAAAUCACGUGCAGUGAGGUACAGCAAAAGUUGUACCUCUGAGGUAUAAAUCUGAGAAAUUUGAAAAGUAAAACUUUACCUUAACAAAUGAAAUUAGGGGGCAAAGCAAGAUGGUGGAAUAAAAGGCUCCACCUAUCAUUUUCCUCUCCCAAGGACAUAAAUUUAACAACUAUGGACACACAAAGAAUAACACCGUGACAAGAAUAAAAAAAUCAGGUGAGCACUAACAAUACCUGGUUUUACCUUUCUGUCACUGAAAGAAGCACUGAAGAGAUAGAAAAAAAGUAUUGAAGUGCUAAUGUCACCCCUCCCUCACACCCUGGCAGCAGCAGCAUGGUGCUGAGAGAGUUUCCGUGUUCUGGGGGAAGGGAGAGCAUGGCAGUUGUGAGGUGUUGAACUCAGUGCUGUCAAGUUAGAGCAGAAAGGAAAGCCAGUCCAAACUCAUCUGAUGCCUGCCAUAGUGGGAGUAUUUAAACCAGACCUAGCCAGAAGGGAAUCACCGCUUGAGUUCCUCUAAACCUCACUACCACGUUCUAAAGUGCUCAGAGACUCUAAAUGAACUCGAAAGGUAGGCUAGGCCACAAUGAUUUCAACCUUUAGAUGAGUUCUAAUGCUGAAAUGGGCCCAGAGACAGUGGACUGGUGGGGCACAUAACCUACUGAAACAUCAGCUGGGGUGGCUAAGAAAGUGUGGGCAUUACCUCUCCCCUAACCCCAAGCUACAUAGCUCACAGCUCCAAAAGAGACCCCUUCCUUCUGCUUGAUGAGAGAGGAGGGAAGAGCGAAGAGGACUUUUUAUUGCAUGUUGAAUACCAGCUCAGCCACAGCAGGAUAGGACACUGGUCAGAAUCCCGAGGCCCCCAUUCCAGGCCCUACCUCCCAGGUAACGUUUCUAGACACAACCCAGGCCAGAAAGGAACUUGCUGCCUUGAAGGGAAGGACCCAGUCCUCGCAGCAUUUAUUACCUACUAACCGAAGAGCCCUAGACCCUGAAUAGCAAGCAGAGAUAUCCAGGUACUACUUUGAAGGACUUCAGUGGGACUCUGAGACUUACUGGCUUCAAACAUGUCUCAGCACAUUUCCAACUGUAGUGGCUACAGGGCGAGACUUCUUCUGCUUAAGAGCAGAGGAAAGAGUAAAGGGGACUUUGUCUUGAACCUUAGGAACCAGGUCAACCACAGGGGGCUGUACCAAGUGGGCUCUUGGAGUACACAAUUCCAGGACUUGCCUCUUCAAUGGUAUUCCUGGACCUCUCCUGGGCCAAAGGGAAGCCCACUGCCCUGAAAGGUGAGUCCCAAGUCAGGCAGCAUUCAUCACAAACAGACAUAGGAGCCCUUGGACCUAAAGGGAACAUUGACAGUGGUCUGGCAAUACUCCCCAUGGGCCUGUGAUGGUGAUGACCACAGAGUGAGGCUUCUUUACAUUUGGAAAGGGGAGGGGAGACUGGAACGACUGCAUUUUGUGCCCUCACUGACAGCUCAGCCACAAUACAAUAGAACACCAGCAAGACUUCUAAGGUUUUGGACUCUUCUUCCUGACUCCAAGAUGGCACUCUUGGACCCACAUGGGGCCUGGGAGCACUCACUGCUCUGAAGGGAAGGGUGCAGGCCUAACUUUCCACCUGCUGAUUUUAGAGUCCCAGGGCCUUGAGUAAAUAUAGGCAGUAGCCAGGGAGUGGUUACUGCAGGCGUUGGAAAACAUGCAGUGCUGUGCUGGCUUCAGGUCUGACCCAACACAGUCAUAGUGGUGGUGGCCACAGGGGUGCUUAUAUUAUUGCAUCCCCAGUUUCAAGUCGCUCAGAACAGAGAGAGAUACUAUAUUUAUUUGAAAGAACAUAAAAAAGAGAACAAGAAUUAUCUGCCUGGGAAUCCAGAGAAAUCUCCCAGAUGUUGUCCAAGACCAUCAAGGUAGUACGUCUACGAAUCUGCAAGAACCACAGUGUUACUGGGCUCAUGGUUCCUCAUAAAGCAGAUACAGCUUAGAUGACAACACCCAAGUCCUCUCAAAUAUCUGGGAAGCCUUCACAAGAAGGAUAGGUACAAACAAGCCCAGACUGUGAAGACUAACAUAAAUACCUAACUCCUCAAUGCCCAGACACAGACAAACAUCUACAAGUAUAAAAGACAGUCCAUGGAAACAUGACCUCACCAAAUGAACUAAAUAAGGCACCAGGGAACAAUCCUGGAGAAACCGAGAUAUGUGAUCUUUCAGACAGAAUUCAAAAAAGCUCUUUUGAGGAAACUGAAAGAAAUUCAGGAUAACACAGAGCAGGAAUUCAGAAUUCUAUUAGAUAAAUUUGAUAAAUUGAAAUAGUUAAAAAGAAUCAAGCAGAAAUUUGGGAGCUGAAAAAUACAAUUGGCAUAUUGAAGAAUGCAUCAGUGUCUUUUACUAGCAGAAUUGAUCAAGCAGAAGAAAGAAAUAGUGAGCAAGCUAUUGAAAAUAGGGCAGGCAGUUUGAAAGUACGUAGAGGAGACAAAAGAAAAAAGAAAUAAAAAACAAUGAAGAACACUUACAGGAUCUAGAAAAUAGGUGGAAAAAAGCAAAUCUAAAAGUUAUUGGCCUUAAAGAGGAGGUAGAGAAAGAUAUAGGGGUAGAACAUUUAUUCAAAGAGAUAAUAACAGAGAAUUCUCAAACCUAGAAAAAGAUAGUAAUGUCCAAGUACAAGAAGAUUAUACAACACCAAGCAGAUUUAACCCAAAGAAGACCACCUCAAGGAAUUUAAUAAUCCAGCUCCCAAGAAACAAGGAUAAAGAAAUUAUCAUGAAAACAGCAAGAGAAGAGAAACAAAUAACAUAUAAUGGAUCUCCAGCACAUCUGGCAGCAAACUUUUCGGUGGAAAUUUCACAGGCCAAGAGAGUGGUAUGGCAUAUUUAAAGUGCUGAAGGAAAGAGACUUUUACCCUAGAAUAAUAUAUCCAGCAAAAAUAAUCUUAAGACAUGAAGGAGAAAUGAAGACAUUCCCAGACAAACAAACACUGAGACAUUUUAUUAACACUAGACCUGUACUACAAGAAAUGCUAAAGAAAGUACAUCAAUCAGAAAUAAAAGGAUGUUAGUGAGCAACUAAUAAUCACCUGAAGGUAAAAAAAAAAAAAUCACUGUAAUAGUAAGUAUAAAUAAAAACACAGAAUAUUAUAAGACUGUAACUGAUGUGUCAACUACUCAUUCUAAGUAUGAAGGUGAAAUGAUGAACCAAUCAAAAAGUUAACUAUACACUGCACACUAUAUUAAUGUGUUAUCAGAUAAAAUAAUGGGUUUUUAAAAAGUAUUUGCAAGCCUCAUAGUAACCUCAAACCAAAAUGCAUACAAUGGAGACACAAGAAAUUAAAAGCAAGAAACUAAAUCAUAUCAUCAGAGAAAAUCAUCUCACUAAAGGAAGACAGGGAGGAAAAAGAAGGAAAACAGACCACAAAAACCCAGAAAACAAAUAAUAAAAUGGCAGGAGUAAAUUCUUAAUUACCAAUAAUACCACUGAAUAUAAUGGAUUCAACUAUUUAAUCAAAAGUCAUAGAGUGGCUAGAUGAAUUUUAAAAGCAAACCCAUUGACUUGUUUCCUACAAGAAACACACUUCCCCUAUAAAGACACGUGUACACUGAAAAUAAAAGGAUGGAAGAAUAUAUCCCAUGUCAAGGGAAACCAAACAAGAGCAAAAGUUGCUGCACUGAUAUCAGACAAAAUAUAUUUCUAGACAAAAACUGUAACAAGAGACAAGGUCGCUAUAUAAUGAUAAAAGGGUCAAUUUAGCAAGAAUAUAUAACAAUUUUAAGUAUAUGUGCAGUCAACCCUGGAGCACCCAGAUAUAUGAAGCAAAUAUUAUUAGAGGUAAAGAAAGAGAUAGACCCUAAUACAAUAAUAGCUGGAGACUUCACCCCACUUUCAGCAUUAGGCAAAUCUUUUAGACAGAUAUUAACAAAAAAACUCAAUCUGCACUAUAGACCAAAUGGAUCUAAUAGAUAUUUACAAAACUUUUCACCCAAUGGCUAUGGAAUAUAAACUCUUCAGCACAUAGAUCGUUCUCAAGGAUAGACCAUAUGUUAGGUCAUAAAUCAAGUUUUAAAAUAUUCAAAAAAUGGAAAUAAUAUCAAACAUCUACUCUGACCACAAUGGGAUAAAACUAGAAAUCAAUAACAAGGAAUUCUGAAAACCAUACAAAUACAUUAAAAUUAAACAAUAUGCUUCUGAAGAAUCAGUGGGUCAAUGAAGAAACCGAAAAAAAGUUGAAGAAUUCCUUGAAACAGAUGAUAAUGAAGACACCAUCUACCAAAACCUAUGAAAUACAGCAAAAGCAGUAUUAUGAAAGAAGUUUGUAGCUAAAAAAAAAAAAAUCUAACAGUGUGCUUGAACUAGAAAAGCAAGAGUAAACCAAAACCAAAAUCAGUAAAUAAAGGAAAUACUAAAGAUGACAGCAGAAAUAAAUUUGAAAUGAAGAAAACAAUGCAAAAGAUUAAUGAAAUAAAAAGUUUGCAGUUUGAGAAGUUAAACAAAAUUGACCUUUAGCUGGACUAAGAAAAAGAGAAGAUCCAAAUAAAUAAAAUCAGAGAUGAAAAGGGAGACAUUAUGACUACUACAGACAUUAAAAGGAUUACUAGUGGCUACUAUGAGUAACUAUACGCCAAUAAAUUGGAAAAUCUAGAAGAAAUGGACAAUUUCCUAGACACAUACAACCUUCCAAUGUUAAACCAGUACGAAAUCCAAAACCUGAACAGACCAAUAACAAGUAGCAAGAUGGAAGCCAUAAUAAAGUCCCUCAGUAAAGAAAAGCUUGGGACCUGAUGACUUUACUGCAGAGCUGUACCAAACAUUUAAAGAAGAAUUAAUACCAAUCCUAUUUAAACAAUUCAAAAAAAAAAAUGAGGAGGGGACACUUCCUAACUUAUUCUACAAGACCAGUAUUACAUUGAUAGCAAAACUAGACAAAGAUACAUCAAAAAAAUUAAAAAAAAACACAAGCCAAUAUCUCUAAUGAAUAUUGAUGCGAAAAUCCUCAGCAAACUACUAGCAAAGCAAAUUCAACAAUACAUUAGAAAGCUCAUUCAUCACGACCAAGUGGGAUUUAUUCCAGGGAUGCAAGGGUGAUUCAACAUAUGCAAAUCAAUCAUUGCGAUGCAUCAUAUCAACAGAAGAAAGGACAAAAUCCAUAUGAUCAUUUCAAUUGAUGUCAAAAUGAUGUUUUCAUCCCUUCAUGAUAAAAAUCCUAAAAAAACUGAGGAUAGAAGGAUCAUACCUCAACAUAAUACAAACCAUAUAUGACAGACCCCAGCUAGUGUCAUACUGAAUGAGGAAAAACUGAAAGCCUUUCCUCUAGGACCUGGAACACAACAGGGAUGCCCACUAUCACCACUGUUAUUCGACAUAGUACUGAAAGACUUAGAUAGAGCAAUCAGACAAGAGAGAGAAAUAAAGGGCAUCCAAAUUGGAAAGGAAGAAGUCAGAUUAUCCUUGUUUGCAGAUGAUAUUAUCUUUUAUUUGGAAAAACCUGAAGACUCUUAGCCAGGCAUAGUGACAUGUGCCUGUAGUCCCAGCUACAUGAGAGCCUGAGACAGAAGGAUCAUAUGAGCCCAGGAGGUCGAGGCUACAGUGAGCUGAGAUCCUGUCACUGCAUUCCAGCCUGGGCAACAGAAUGAGACCUUAUCUCAAAAAAGGAAAAAAAAUGAAAAAAAGGAAAAACUCCACAAAAGAAAUUAGAACUUAUAAACAAAUUCAGUAAAGUUGCAGGAUACAAAAUUAACAUCCAGAAGUCAGUAGCAUUUCUUUAUGCCAAUGUGAACAAUCUAAAAAAGAAGUAAUCUUAUUUAUAAUAGCCACAAAUAAAAUUAAAUACCUAGGAAUUAAUUUAAAGCAAUCAACAAUCUCUGUAAUGAGAAUUAUAAAACACUGAUGAAAGAAAUUGAAAAGGACACCAGAAAAUGGAUAGUCUAUGUUUAUGAAUUGGAAGAGUCAAUAUUGUGUAAAAUUCCAUACUACCCAAAGCAAUCUACAGAUUCAGUGCAAUCCCUAUCAAAAUACCAAUGUUAUUUUUCAAUGAAAUAGAUAAAACAAUCUUAAAAUUUCUAUGUAACCACAAAAGACCCAGAAUAGCCAAAGCUAUCCUAGGCAAAAAGAACAAACCUGGAGAAUUCAUAUUACCUGACUUCAAAUUAUACUACAGAGCUAUACUAACCAAACCAGCUUAAUGCUGGUAUAAAAACAGACACAGACCAAUGGAACAGAAUAGAGAAUCUAGAAACAUUCACACUCCUAUAGUGAACUCAUUUUCAAUAGAAGUGCCAAGAACAUACGCUGAGGAAAAGACAGUCUCUUCUUUGAUAAAUGGUGCUGUAAAAACUGGAUAUCCAUAUGCACAAGAAUGAAACUAGAUCCCUAUCUCUCAUUGUAUACAAAAAUCAAAAUGGAUUAAAAACGUAAAGAUCUCAAACUAUGAAACUACUACCAGAAGUCAUUGGGGAAAAUCUCCAGGACAUUGUUCUCAGCAAAAAUUUCUUAAGUAAUUCUCCACAACGACAGGCAACCAAAGCACAAAUGGACAAAUGGGAUCUCAUCAAGUUAAAAAGCUUCUGCACAGCCAAGGAAACAAACAAAAAAUUGAAGAGAGAACCCACAGAAUGAGAGAAAAUAUUUACAAGCUACCCAUUUGACAAAGGAUUAAUAACCAGAAUAUAUGAAAAGCUCCAACAACUCUAUAGGAAAAAAAUCCAAUAACCUGACCAAAAAAUGGGCAAAAUAUCUGAAUAAACAUUUCUUCGAAGAAGACAUGCAAAUGAAAAACAUGAAAAGGUGUUCAACAUCAUUGAUCAUUAGAGAAAUGCAAAUCAAAACUUUAGUGAGUUAUCUCACCCCAGUUAAAAUGGCUUAUAUUCAAAAGACAGGUAAUAACAAGUGCUGGUGUAGAUCUGGAGAAAAUGGAACCAUGUAUACUGUUGGUGAGAAAUUAAUACAACCACUAUGGAAAACAGUUUGGAGGUUCCUCAAAAAAACUGAAAAUGGAGCUACCAUAUGAUCCAGCAAUUUCACUGCUGGGUAUGUACCCUAAAGAAAGAAAAUGAAUAUGUCAAAGAGAUAGCUGCAUUCCUGUGCUUGUUGCAGCACUGUUCACAAUAGCCAAGAUUUGGGAGCAACCUUAGUGUCUAUCACCAGAUGAAUGGAUAAACAAAAUGGGGUACAUAUACAAAAUGGAGUACUAUUCAGCCAUAAAAAAGAAUGAGAUCUAGUCAUUUGCACCAACAUGGAAGGAACUGGAGAUCACUAUUUGAAGUGAAUAAGCAAAGCACAGAAAGACAAACAUCACAUGUUCUCACUUAUUUGUGGGAUCUAAAAAUCAAAACAAUUGAACUCAUAGACAUACAGAGUAGAAGAAUGAUUACCAGAGGGUAGGAAGGGCACUUGUUGGGUUGGGGAGGAAAUUGCAAUGGGUAAUGAGUACAAAAGAAAAAAAAUAGUAUGAUUAAGAUCUAGUAUUUGAUUGCAUAAUCGGGCGACUGUAGUAAAUAAUAAUUGACCAUUUAAAAAUAACUAAAAGGGUAUAAUUGGAUUCUUUGCAACACAAAGGAUAAAUGCUUGAGAGGAUGUAUACAUCCAUUUUUAUGAUUUGCUCAUUACACAUUGCAUGCUUGUAUCAAAAGUUUUCAUGUACCCCAUAAAUACAUACACCUACUAUGUACUACUCACAAAAAUUAAAAAUUAAAAAUACCAUUUUAAAUAAAGAAGAUAGCUUUUUGGGGGGCGGGGACAGGGUCUCACUCUCCAUCUCUCACUCAGACUGCAAUGGUGAGAACAUGAUUCAUUGGGAAAUAAACACAACUUCCUGGGCUCAAGGUGUCCUCCCACCUCAGCCUGCUGAGUAGCUGGGACCACAGGCACACAACACCAUGCCUGGCUAAUUUUUUUUUUUUUUUUUUUUUAAUUUGAGACAAGAUCUCACUAUGUUGCCCAGGCUGGUCUUGAACUCCUGGGCUCAGGCAAACCUCCUGCCUUGGCCUCCCAAAGUGCUGGCAUUACAGGCAUGAGCCACUGCACCCAGCAGCAGUCUUACUUUCUUUAAACCAGAAACUAGGGAUAUUAAAGAGAUCUCAGGAAAAAGUGGCAGGAACAGAAUCUGUCUGUAGUGUACAAAAUGGCUGUUAAACAGAUUUUUGAAUUAAACUUAAAACCUCUUGCAAUUUUUAAAAGCGUGUAUCAAUACUUUAAGAAAACUUUGUUGUUUACACAGACUCUGGUCCUGUAUCAUGUCAUCCCUGACAGCAACAUUUAAUUUUUAGAAUAUCGUAUAAACAAUUUCUUUUCAAUCUCAGUGGACCCAGUCACACAUGAAACUUUUUUCAUGAGACCAGUGCUUUAGAAAUCCUCUUCUACUUGUUUAGUUCUUUCACCACUUUUCAACCCCCACCCCCCAAGUCUUAUUUCUGUAAUUUUUCUUUUUAAAAAAAUUAUGGAACAACAAUUUUAAAUUAGGUAAAAUUUUACCACAUACAAUUUUUUACACAAAAUUAUUUCCUUCUAAAUUCAUAUUUUGAUUAAUAGACACAAAUGUAUUUAGUCUUUCCAUAAAAUUUAAAAAGCCAAGAAUGAACUUAUGUGUACUUAACAAUUUGUUUCUGUUUUUUUCUUAUUUGGAUAUGGCUCAGACAUUUAAUGAGUAUUAUUUAAUUUAACAUAACUUUAAGAUUUUAAAUUACAUGAAAAUUUAUUUGUAAAUGCUUACUCUGUUUGCAAUUACCUAAUUUAUUUAUUUUUUAACAAUUAUACCUUGAUUACCUAUGAAAAUUGAGAUACUAGACAUAGCUAGUUAUUAGGUUUUUAUUAACGAAUUUUAUUGCCUGUUAAUAUCAGGAAUUUCCCUAAGUAAGAACUUUAAGGUUAAAUACAUAGGUCAAUAAGUCCUAUUGUAUAAAUCCUGUCAAUAAGUCAGGAGACACGGCUGAUUUUAUUAAAGCAACAAUAUUAAAUUAAUCUUAUCAAAGGGUUAAAGAUUAUGUUGUUUUAGGCUUUAUCACCUUAUUACAUUAAAAGAUCUAGCAGAGGCAUAUAUAAAACUGUGUGACCAGUAAACUCAAGUGAGAAUGUAUGUUGACACUUUUGAAGAUAUUUCUAAUUUUAUUUUUUCAACCAUUUUUAAACCAAUUUAUCAAGAUUUACUUGUGAACUAAAAAAAAAAAAAAAGUUGGGGUGCCAGGUGCCUAUAAUCCUAGCUACUUGGGAGGCUGUGGCAGAAAGAAUUUCAAGGGCCCAGAAUUUCAAGGUUGCAGUGAGCUAUGAUUAUGCCACUGUACUCCAUUCUAGGUGAAAGAGCAAGACUGUUUCUAUAAUUUUAUUGAAUGGGAUAAUUAGUAUACUAUUGAUUUUAUAUGUGCACCCAAUAUAUCUAAAUAAAAUAUUUUGAGGGAUGUCAAGCUAAUUAUACCAGAUUUUAUUAUGUACAUGUAACAUAUAACACAGUACAUGUACAUAUGUGUAAACACAUCUAAAUGUAUAUAUACACAUAUAAAAAUACUUUCAUAUAUAUGCUCAUAUAAAAAUACUUUCAACUUUCAUUUUAGAAUUUUGGUCAUGAGAUAGUAAAACAUAGAGACUCACUGAUUUUUUUUAAAAAAUACAUUUAUCAGGCGCAUAUGCUAUUUUGUUACAUACAUAGGUUGCAUGGUGGUCAAGUCAGGGCUUUUAGGGUAUUUGUCACCUAAAUAAUGUAUGCUGUAGCCAUUAAAUAAUUUCUCAUCAUUCUCCCUACUCCCACUCCCUCACCUUUCAAGUCUACAUUAUCUAUCUAUGUCCAUUAUCUGUCUAUGUCCAUGUGAACACAUUUUGUAGCACCCACUUAGGAGUGAUAACAGGUAAUAUUUGUCUUUCUGUGCCUGGCUCGUUUCACUUAAGAUAAUGAUUUCCAGGAUGAGUGUGGUGGCUUGUGCCUGUAAUCCCAGGAAUUUAGAAGGCCAACGCAGCCAGAUUGCUUGAUGCCAAAAUUUCAAGACCAGGCUGCGCAUAAUUUCAAGACCUUCUCUUUACAAAUAAAAAUAAAAAUAAAUAGCUGGAGCUGUGGCAUGAACCUGUAGUCCUGGCUAGUUGGAAGGCUGAGGAGGAGGGAUUACUUCAGCCCAGGAUUUCAAGGCUGCAGUGUGCUAUAAUUGUGCCAAGACACUCCAGCCUGGGUGACAUAGCAAGACCUUUUGUCUAGAAGAUAGCAAAGAUAAUGACCUUCAGUUUCAUCUGUAUGGCUGCAAAAUACUUGAUUGUAUUCUUUUUUAUGGUUGAAUAGGAUUCCAUUAUGUAUAUACACCACAUUUUCUUACUCAUUUAUCUAUUGAUAGACACUUAGGUUGAUUCCCCUUUGCUAUGAAUAGUGGUGUGAUAAACAUGCAAGAGCAAGUAUGUUUUUGAUAUAUUGAUUUUUUUCCUUUCAGUAGAUACCUAGCAGUGGUAUUGCUGGAUUGAAUGAUAGUUCUUUUAGUUCUUUGAAAAACCAUACUGUUUUCCGUAAAGGCUGUACUAAUAUCCAUUCCGAGCAACAGUAUAUGAGUUCUCUUUUCUCCAUAUCCUCACCAACAUCUGCUCUUUUUUGUCUUUUUAAUAAUGGCCAUUCUAGCUGGGGUAAAAUGAAAUAUCAUUGUGGUUUUGAUUUGCAUUUCCCUGAUGAUUAAUGAUGAGCAUUUUUUCAUAUACCUGUUGGCCAUUUGUAUGUCUCUUUUGAAAAAUGUCUGUUCAUGUCUUUUGUCCCACAUGGGAUUAUUUGAUUUUAUUGUUUGAGUUCCUUGUAUAUUCUGGAUAUUAGUCCUCUGUUGGAUUGAUAGUUUGAAAAUAUUUUCUCCCAUAUAACAGGUUGUCUCUUCUCUAUGUUGAUUGUUUCCUUUGCUGCGAAGAAGCUUUUUAGUUUAAUUAAGUCCCAUUUGUCUAUUUUUUCUUCUGUUGCCUGUGCUUUUGAGUUCUUAAUCAUUAAUUUGGUGCCUAGAUCAAUGUCCAGAAGAGUUUACUCUAGGUUUCCUUCUAACAUUUUUAAAGUAUUGGGUCUUACAUGUAAGUUUUAAUCCAUCUUGAGAUGGUUUUUGUAUGUGGUGAGAGAUAAGGAUUCAGUUUCAUUUUUCUGCAAUAGAUAUUCAAUUUUUAAGCCAUUUAUUAAAGCGGGUCUUCUUUCCCCCACUGUAUGUGUUGUUGGUUUUGUCAAAAAUCAGUUGGCUGUAAAUAUGUGGCUUUAUUUCUGGAUUCACUAUUCUUUUAUAUUAAUCUGUAUACUAUUUUUAUAUCACUAUCAUGUUAUUUUGCUUACUAGAGCGUUGUAAUAUUAUUUGAAGGCAAAUAAAGUGAUGCUUCCAGCUGUGAUCUUUUUGCUUAAGAUUGCUUUGGUUACUUGGGCUUUGUUUUGGUUCCAUAUGAAUCUUAUGGUUGUUUUUUCUAAUUCUGUGAAAAGCGACACUGGUAUUUUGAUGGGAAUUGCAUUGAAUCUGUAGAUUAGGCAGUUAUGGUCAUUCUAUUAGUCUGUUCUCACACUGCUAUAAAGAACUACCUGAGACUGUAAUUUACAAAGAAAAGAGGUUUAAAAACUCACAGUUCCACUUUGCAGGAAGCAUGAAUGGGAGGCCUCAGUAACAAUCAUGCCAGAAGGUGAAGGGGAAGCAAGCACGUCUUUACCGUGGUGGAACAAGAGCAAGCAAGGGGGAAAUGCCACACACUUUUAAACCAUCAGAUCUCCUGAGAACUCACAGUCACAAGAACAGCAUGGGGGAAAUCCACCCCCCUGAUCCAAUUACCUCCCACAAGGUCCCUCCCCCAACAUUGGGAAUUACAAUUCAACAUGAGAUUUGGUUGGGGACAUGGAACCAAACCAUAUGAGUCACUUUAUUUAUAUUAAUUAUUUCAAUUUAUGAACAUGUGAUAUUCUUCCAUUUGUUUGUGUCAUCUACAAUUUAUUCCAGCAGUGUUUUGUAAUUUUCCUUGUAGAAAUCUUUCACCUCCUUGUAGAAAUCUUUCACCUCCUUGGUUAAAUUUAUUGCUAGGGUUUUUUUUGUAGCUAUUGUAAAUGGGAUUGCCUUCUUGAUUUCUUUCUUUGCAAGGUCAUUAUUGGUAUAUAGAAACACUACUGAUAUUUGUACAAUAAUAUUUUUGUAUUCUUCAACUUUAUUGAAUUCGUUCAUCAAAUCAGAGUUCUUUGGCGGAGUCUAGGUUUUUCUAGAUAUAUGAUUCUAUCAUCAGCAAACAGGGAUAAUUAAACUUCCUCUUUUUAAAUUUGGAUUCCUUUUAUUUAUUUUUCUUUCCUGAUUGCUCUGGCUAGGACAUACCCUAAUACAUUAAAUGAGAGUGGAAAAAUUUGGCAUCCUUGUGUUGUUUCUGUUUUAGAGAAAAUCCUUUCCAAGAUUCCCCCAAUUACUAUGAUGUUAAGGGAGGAGACCACCCCUCAUAUUGUCUUAUGCCCAAUUUCUGCCUCCAAAGAAAGAAGUAGUAAAAAGUAAAAGGCAGAAAUGAAAUCCACAAGCGGACAGCCUGGCGCCACACCCUAGGCCUGGUAGUUAAAGCUUGACCCCUGACCUAAUCGGUUAUUUGCAUAAGAAAAGCACUGUAAAGAUCCCUGUCCUGUUCUGUUCCAUUCUAAUUACCAGUGCAUCCAGCCCCCAGCCACAUACCCCCUGCUUGCUCAAUUGAUCACGACCCUCUCACAGGGACCCCCUUAGAGUUGUGAGCCCUUAAAAAGGACAGGAAUUGCUCACUAGAGGAGCUCAGUUGUUGGAGAUGUGAGUCUUCCCGAAGCUCCUGGCCGAAUAAAGCCCUUCCUUCUUUAACUCAGUGUCUGAGGGGUUUUGUCUGUGGCUUGUCCUGCUACAUUUCUUGGUUCCCUGACCAGGAAGUGAGGUGAUUAACAGACGGUCGAGGCAGCCCCUUAGGCAGUUUAGGCCUACCCCAUGGAGCAUCUCUGUGGGGGACUCCGGCCAGCUUGAGCAACGCAGAUCCUGAGAGUGCUCCUGGGUAGGCAAUUGUCCCAGUGGAACGCCUCACCAGAGCAGUGCGUGGCAGGCCCCUGUGGAGGAUCAACGCAGUGGCUGAACGCCGGGAAGGAACUGGCACUUGGAGUCCAGACAUCUGAAACUUGGUAAGACUAGUCUUUGGAAAUUGCCUACUCCAUUUGAGUGGAAGCGUGGCCUGAUCACCCAUGGCAUGCCUGUACUGGCAGUUUGGUUUUUUGUUUUUGACUUGACUUGGAUUGCUUGAUACUUUGGUUUUGGUUUUGACCUGGCUUGGAUUUCUUGAUACUCUGAUUUUGGUUUUGAUUCUGGUUUGGUGUAAACUGUAAAAGUGUGUGUGUGCCCUUUUUACCCGUUCUUUUUGUGGUGUGCGUGCGGUGUGAGCGUGGUGUUUUGUCUUGAGGAAGCAUGGGUCAGGCACAAAGUAAGCCCACCCCACUAGGAACUAUGUUGAAAAAUUUCAAGAAAGGAUUUAAGGGAGAUUACGGUGUUACUAUGACACCAGGAAAACUUAGGACUUUGUGUGAAAUAGACUGGCCAGCAUUAGAGGUGGGUUGGCCAUCAGAAGGAAGCAUGGACUGGUCCCUUGUUUCAAAGGUAUGGCACAAGGUAACCUGUAAGCCAGGGUGCCCAGACCAGUUCCCGUACAUAGACACUUGGUUACAGCUGGUUUUAGACCCCCUCCCUACCCCCACGGUGGUUGAGAGAACAGCAGCAUAAGCAGCUGGCAGAGGCAAGGAAAGACCAGCAAAGAGACAGAGAAGAAAGAGACAGGAAAAGAGGCAAAGAGAGAGAAGAAGAGAGAGAGGAAGAGACAGAGAGACAAAGAGGGAGUCAAGGAGAAAGAGAGAGAGAGGAAGAGACAGAGGCAAAAGGAAAGUCAAAAAGAGAGACAAUGUCAAAGACAGAGAAAUAUACAAGUAGUUAAAAAAAAGUGUGCCCUAUUCCUUUAAAAGCCAGGGUAAAUUUAAAACCUAUAAUUGAUAAUUGAAGGUAUUCUCUGUAACCCUAUAACACUCCAAUACCACUUUGUUGUCAGUGUAAACAAGGGCAUAUCCCGAAAGCACAGAGGCCACUGAUAACCCGUAGCCUUCCUAUCAAAAAUCUUUAACCCAGUAACCCACGAAUGGCCCAGAUGCAUUCAGUCUGUAGCGGCAAUGGCUUUGCUAACAGAAGAAAGUAAAAAAAUAACUUUUAGAGGAAACCUCAGUGUGAGCAUACCUCACCAGUUCAGAAGUAUCCUAAGGAAAAAAAAAAAAAAAAAAAAGGAUGUUUUAACAUUAACCACGAAAAAAAUCCCUUAACCCAGAAGUUUUCCUAACAGGGCAUCUAAGUCUUAAUUACCAUACAAAGGUCCGACCAGACCAGAAUUCCCUACAGGACAGGACCAUCAAUGGUUCCUCCCGGGUAAUUGAAGGAAAAAAAAAAAAAAAGCCAUCUAUACCAAUUCUAAGUUAAUUUGGACAAAACAAGGUCUUAUUAAUAGCAAAGGAUAAUUAAAAUCCCAAACUUGCAAGGUUUUCAACAAAAGUAAAGUUUGCUAAAAGCUAACAUUGUAACAUGUAUUAUAGUAAAUUAUAAUCUUGUGGCCUUAGACAGUCUAGUCCACAGUCAUAAAGCAAGUUCGCUUUGGAAAAGAAUGGUUAUCUCUGAAAAAAAAAAAAAGAAGAAAAGGAGGGGCAGAAUUUAUGUAAAAAAAGUGUUAUAUGGUAAAUUCUUGUCCUGAAAUAAAUUAACUGGUUGUUUAAAGAAAGAAAUGUUUGUAAUAAGUCAGAAAGUUCAGGCAUUGCUAAGAAUUGUCUGCAAAAGUUGUGAAAGAGAAAUAUGUUAUAAAAAAAAAGAAUUUAUGCAAGAAAAGUUGUAUAAUUUAAAAGUAACUAGGCCUCCUGAAUGUAAAACUAUUGAAAUAAACAGUUUAUGUGCAAGGUGUAUAAGGAAAGUAAAAUAUAACUUUGGUAAAAGGAUUAUAAGGAGGCAAAAGAAUGUAAGUUGUUACAUACAUUAAAAGGUUAAAAAAACUAUUUUGAAGGUUUAAGCAAGUUUUAAAAUGUUAAUUGUAAAGGAAAUUCUGUGUGUAAACAUAUUAGCCAAAGGUAAAGGGGUAACAUCCAGUUUUUCUGUGAAUUGGACAUUAAAGUAAAAACACAAUGGGUUUUUCUUAAAGCACUAACCUGCUCUUUAACAAAGAUUAUAAAAAGUGAGUCUAUAAAAAUCUUACCUGAUGGUCCAACAUGAAAAAUUCAAUAAAUAUGUAUACAAAGUUUUAUUAAAACUAAGUUUAACAUUAAUAACACACUAAUAUAAAGGUGAAAUUUAGCUUAUCUGGUAUAAAAAUCAUACAGGAAGCAUUGUCAAAUAUAAAAUGGUAUUUGGCUUCUUUGGUCUAAAAACUAAUAAAAAUAGGUGCUAAAGGAAAUUUCUCAGUGGAAAGGCACCAAGAACUAUAAAGUCCACUGCUGAUGUCCCCACAUUUAAAACAAAAGGUCAACUUCUUAGAAAUUAUAUACUUGGUUUAUCUUCCACUUUCCUUUCCCUCAAAACUAAAAGUCUUUUAGCACAUGUACCACCCCUAGAAUUUCCGGUAAACCAGCACCAGCCUAUCCGCUCGGGGAUGAACAAGGGCUGACUGAUUGAUAAGCUCUUGAAAAUUCUUAAGCUCACUGCAUCCCUUCAGGUCUCCAAGGAACGCUAAGUUUCUUCCCUGUUGUGAGAGACACGAAGUGAACUUAGUGUUGGGAGACGGAAGCUGGAUGGCCCUCGGGGGCUGACCCGCAGGGUACCGGACUUUGGGAUAUAGCAGAGAGAGCUUGGCAUGACUUACUACUCCAGGCUGUAGAAUCCUGGAUAAGAGCUACCAUGCAGCCCACGUGUGGUCGACUGGAGGAUCAGCUGCUUAGUGGAAAGAGGACAAUCUGGGCCUCUGGCCUGCCAUGUGCACAAGCAUAACAAUUGCUUUUGUUUAACGUGCAGAUGGAAUAUUUGAUCCAUUCCAACCAGGCAUUUGCAUCUUGGUAUCCUGUCUUAAUUGCCAAAGUUUGUUUUAAGUCUUUAACUUCUAUCAUCCUCUAGUAAAAUGAAUGUAUGAUUUUAGGAAAUUACAAAAACCGGUUGGGGCAGCCCAUCCUUGCUCUUUAGUGGUCCACAGAAUGUUGGACCAACUACGGCAUAAAAGCUCUACAUAGGGGAGCAAGACUCCUGGUUGACACUGGAGUCUUAAUCAAAAUUUCCCCAGAUUAAAUGGUCCUAAUUUACUAAUGCCCAGUCUGAGGAGAGUCAGGAGGGACAGAGGUACUUUUCUGAAGUAGAGAGCUGUCUUUGACUGGGCAAGUCCCCACAGGGUAUAACAAGGCAAGCAUUAAAUGCAAUAGUUUGAGGCAAAAUUGACUUGGUUAUGUUAAUAACCAGAUGGUCAGCAAAAGAGCGAGGUAAGAAGAAAGAGUAAUAGAAUAGAUUAAGACUUAAAUUUUUGUUAGCUUUAGUUUGGUAAGGUUUUCCCCUGGGACUAUGGCCCAUGACUCUGGAGGGGGUGGCACUUUCUUGACUUGGUUGUGAUUAGUCCAUCCUUUUUUCACUGUAUGAACAGCAGUCUCGGUGUUUAGCAGCACAAGGUAGGGUCCUUCCUAGGCUGGAUCGAGUUUCCUUUCUUUUCACCCUUUGAUGAGAACGUGAUCUUCAGGAUGUGUGGUGGUAUUGUGAUUGUGUGUGGACCUUUACUGGGCACUCUGCCGAAUAACUGGAGUGGCACUUGUACUUUAGUUCAAUUGGCUAUCCCUUUCACCCUGGCAUUUCAUCAACCAGAGGGAAGAAAAAUAAGACAUUGUAAAGCGAGAGAAGGCCCUUAUGGGUUUUUUGACUCUCACGUCUAUUUAGACACAAUUGGAGUCCCACGGGGAAUACCAGAUCAAUUUAAAGCUUGAAAUCAAAUAGCUGCAGGAUUUGAGUCAAUAUUUUGGUGGGUGGCAGUUAAUAAAAAUGUAAAUUGGAUAAACUACAUCUAUUACAACCAACAGCAAUGAGCUUUUCAUGAGUUAAAAGAAAAACUCCUGUUGGCCCCAGCCCUGAGGCUACCCGACCUGACAAAAGCCUUUACACUCUAUGUGUCAGAAAAAGAAAACACGGCAGUUGGAGUUUUAACCCAGACUGUGGGGCCCUGGCCAAGGCCAGUGGCCUAUCUCUCAAAACAACUAGACGGGGUUUCCAAAGGCUGGCCCCCAUGGCUAAGGGCCCUGGCAGCAAUGGCCCUGUUAGCACAAGAAGCAGAUAAACUAACCCUUGGGCAAAACCUGAAUAUAAAGACCCCCCCAUGCUGUGGUAACUUUGAUGAAUACCAAAGGACAUCAUUGGCUAACAAAUGCUAGAUUAACCAAGUACCAAAGCUUGCUAUGUGAAAAUCCCCACAUAACCAUUGAAGUUUGCGACACCCUAAACCCUGCCACCUUGCUCCCGGUAUCAGAGAGCCCAGUUGAAUAUCACUGUGUUGUAUUGCACUCAGUUUAUUCUAGUGGGCCCAACCUCUGAGACCAUCCUUGAACAUCAGUAGACUGUGAGUUGUACAUGGGCGAGAGCAGCUUCGCCAACCCCUGCAAAGUGACUCUGAAGAAGAUGACAAUACCUGCUUCAGUCACACCCGGAAGCUGACUGGUCCACGCAUGGCCAAAGCAUGAGAAAACUCAUUGCGGGACUCAUUUUCCUUAAAAUUUGGACUUAUACCAUAGGGACUUCAACUGACCUUCCUCAGACUGAAGACUAUUCCCAGUAUAUACGUCAAGUCACUGAGGUAGGAAAAAAGUUGCUACAGUCCUAUUAUUUUAUGGUUAUUAUAAGUAUACCAGGACUCUAAAAAGAACUUGUUUGUAUAAUGCUAUUCUAUACAAGGUAUGUAGCCCAGGAAAUGACCAACCUGAUGUGUGUUAUGACCCAUCUGAGCCUCCCAUGACCACAGUUUUUAAGAUUAAGGACUGAAACCUGGUGGGGGCUCAUAAACGAUAUGAGUAAAGUGUUAGCCAAAACAAAAGAAAAAGGGGUGCCCAAACAAGUCACCUUGAAGUUUGAUGCCUGUGUUGUCAUUAAUAGUAAUAAGUUAGGAAUAGGAUGUGGUUCUCUUAAUUAGGAAAAAGGCUAUAUGGCAAAAAAAAAAAAAAAGUACAUUUGUCAUAAAUUAGGACUGUAUGGAAAUGAACGUGCAUACUGGUCUUGUGUCAUUUCGGCUACUUGGAUAAAAAAUGAAAAGGAUCCCGUCCACCUUCAGAAAGGGAAAAGUGGCCCUUCCUGUACAAGUGGUCAGUGUAACCCCUUAGAACUAGUAAUAACCAACCCCCUUGAUCCUCACUGGAAAAAAGGGGAGCGUGUAACCCUAGGAAUUGAGGGGGCUGGACUGGAUCCUCGAGUAAAUAUCAUGGCUUGAGGAGAAGUUUAUAAACGCUCUCCUGAGCCAGUAUCUCAACCCUUCUACGAUUAACUGAAUGUGUCAGUACCAGAAAUUCCAGGAAAAACAAGAAAUUUGUUUUUACAAUUAGCUGAGCAUGUAGCCUAGUCUCUCAGUUUCACUUCAUGUUAUGUAUGUGGAGGAACUAUAAUGGGAGAUCAAUGGCCAUGGGAAGCCUGAGAAUUAGUACCUACAGACCCAGUUCCUGAUGAAUCCCCAGUUCAAAAGAAUCACCCUGAUAACUUCUGGGUCCUAAAAGCCUCAAUUAUUAGACAAUACUGUAUAGCAAGAGUGGGGAAGGACUUCAACCUUCCUGUGGGAAGACUCAACUGCCUUGAGCAAAAACUGUAUAAUAUUACUACAAAAACAGCCACCUAGUGGAGUUCAAACCACACUAAGAAAAAUCCAUUUAGUAAAUUCCCAAAGUUGCAAACCAUGUGAACCCACCCAGAGUCCCACUGGGACUGGGCAGCCCCCACUGGAUUAUACUGGAUAUGUGGGCAUAGAGCUUACACCAAAUUACCCUACCAGUGGGCAGAUAGUUGUGUUAUUGGCACUAUUAAACCAUCUUUCUUCCUACUGCCCAUAAAGACAGGCAAACUCCUGGGCUUCCCUGUCUAUGCUUCCCACAAAAAGAGAAGCAUAGCUAUAGGAAAUUGGAAAGAUAAUGAAUGGCCCCCUGAGAGAAUCAUAUAAUAUUAUGGGCCCGCUACUUGGGCACAAGAUGGCUCGCGGUGAUAUGGGACCCCCAUUUACAUGCUGAACUGAAUCAUACGGUUACAAGCUGUCUUAGAAAUAAUCACUAAUAAGAUCGGCAGAGCCUUGACUAUUCUGACCCAGCAAGAAACUCAGAUGAGAAAUGCUGUCUAUCAAAAUAGAUUGGCUCUCGACUACUUGCUAGCAGCUGAAGGAGGGGUCUGUGGGAAAUUUAACCUUACUAAUUGCUGUCUACACAUAGAUGAUCAGGGGCAAGUAGUUGAAGGCAUAGGGAUAUGACAAAACUGGCACAUGUGCCCGUGCAAGUGUAUCAUGGAUUUGAUCCUGGAGCCAUGUUUGGAAAAUGGUUCCCAGUGCUAGGAGAGUUUAAAACUCUUAUAAUAAGAGUCAUAAUAGUAAUAGGAACCUGCUUACUGCUCCCUUGUUUGCUACCUGUACUUCUUCAAAUGAUAAAAUGCUUCAUCACUACCUUAGUUCACCAAAAUGCUUUAGCACAAGUGUACUAUAUGAAUUACUAUCAAUCAGUCUUGCAAGAAGACAUGGGUAGUGAGAAUGAAAGUGAGAACUCCCACUAUUGAGUGAGAUUCUCAAAGGGGCAGAAUAAGGGAGGAGACCACCCCUCAUAUUGUCUUAUGCCCAAUUUCUGCCUCCAAAGAAGUAAAAACUAAAAGGCAGAAAUGAAAUCCACAAGCAGACAGCCCGGUGCCACACCCUGGGCCUGGUAGUUAAAGAUCGACCCCUGACCUAAUUGGUUAUUUGCAUAAGAAAAGCACUGUAAAGAUCCCUGUCCUGUUCUGUUCCCUUCUAAUUACUGGUGCAUGCAGCCCCCAGUCAUGUAACCCCUGCUUGCUCAAUCAUGACCCUCUCACGCGGACCCCCUUAGAGUUGUGAGCCCUUAAAAGGGACAGGAAUUGGUCACUCAGGGAGCUCUUGGAGUGAGCAAUUCCUGUCCCUUUUAAGGACAGGAAUUGUGUUGGAGAUGUGAGUCUUGCCAAAGCUCCCGGCCGAAUAAAGCCCUUCCUUAACUCGAUGUCUGAGGGGUUUUGUCUGUGGCUUGUCCUGCUACAAUGUUAGCUGUGAGUUUGUAGUAUAUGGCCUUUAUUAUUUUGAGGCAUGUUCCUUCUGUGCUUAGUUCUUUGAGAGUUUUUAUUAUGAAGGGAUGCUGAAUUUUAUGAAAUGUUUUUUCUGGGUCUAUUGAGAUCGUCAUGUGGGUUUUGUUCUUGAUUCUCUUAAUGCAAAGUAUCGUAUUUGUUGAUUUGCAUAUGUUGAGUUGUCCUUGCAUCUCUGGUAUAAAACCUACUUGAUUAUGGUGUAUUAUCUUUUUCUGUGCCCUGUUUUGAUUUAAUAGUAUUUAUAUGUAUUUUUUUAUUAUACUUUAAGUUCUAGGGUACAUGUGCACAACGUGCAGGUUUGUUACAUAUGUAUACAUGUGCUAUGUUGGUGUGCUGCACCCAUUAACUCAUCAUUUACAUUAGGUGUAUCUCCUAAUGCUAUCCCUCCCCCGUCCCCCCACCCCGUGACAGGCCCUGGUGUGUGAUGUUCCCUGCCCUGUGUCCAAGUGUUCUCAUUGUUCAAUUCCCACCUAUGAGUGAGAACAUGCAGUGUUUGAUUUUCUGUCCUUGCAAUAGUUUGCUCAGACUGAUGGUUUCCAGCUUCAUCCAUGUCCCUACAAAGGACAUGAACUCAUC